rnacentral:rRNA from 1 species
GAUGAACGCUGGCGGCGUGCUUAACACAUGCAAGUCGAACGAUGAAGCCCAGCUUGCUGGGUGGAUUAGUGGCGAACGGGUGAGUAACACGUGAGUAACCUGCCCUUAACUCUGGGAUAAGCUUGGGAAACUGGGUCUAAUACCGGAUAGGAGCGUCCACCGCAUGGUGGGUGUUGGAAAGAUUUAUCGGUUUUGGAUGGACUCGCGGCCUAUCAGCUUGUUGGUGAGGUAAUGGCUCACCAAGGCGACGACGGGUAGCCGGCCUGAGAGGGUGACCGGCCACACUGGGACUGAGUCACGGCCCAGACUCCUACGGGAGGCAGCAGUGGGGAAUAUUGCACAAUGGGCGCAAGCCUGAUGCAGCGACGCCGCGUGAGGGAUGACGGCCUUCGGGUUGUAAACCUCUUUCAGUAGGGAAGAAGCGAAAGUGACGGUACCUGCAGAAGAAGCACCGGCUAACUACGUG